AGCGGCGGACGGGUGAGUAACACGUGGGUAACCUGCCUGUAAGACUGGGAUAACUCCGGGAAACCGGGGCUAAUACCGGAUGCUUGAUUGAACCGCAUGGUUCAAUCAUAAAAGGUGGCUUUUAGCUACCACUUGCAGAUGGACCCGCGGCGCAUUAGCUAGUUGGUGAGGUAACGGCUCACCAAGGCGACGAUGCGUAGCCGACCUGAGAGGGUGAUCGGCCACACUGGGACUGAGACACGGCCCAGACUCCUACGGGAGGCAGCAGUAGGGAAUCUUCCGCAAUGGACGAAAGUCUGACGGAGCAACGCCGCGUGAGUGAUGAAGGUUUUCGGAUCGUAAAACUCUGUUGUUAGGGAAGAACAAGUACCGUUCGAAUAGGGCGGUACCUUGACGGUACCUAACCAGAAAGCCACGGCUAACUACGUGCCAGCAGCCGCGGUAAUACGUAGGUGGCAAGCGUUGUCCGGAAUUAUUGGGCGUAAAGCGCGCGCAGGCGGUUUCUUAAGUCUGAUGUGAAAGCCCCCGGCUCAACCGGGGAGGGUCAUUGGAAACUGGGGAACUUGAGUGCAGAAGAGGAGAGUGGAAUUCCACGUGUAGCGGUGAAAUGCGUAGAGAUGUGGAGGAACACCAGUGGCGAAGGCGACUCUCUGGUCUGUAACUGACGCUGAGGCGCGAAAGCGUGGGGAGCGAACAGGAUUAGAUACCCUGGUAGUCCACGCCGUAAACGAUGAGUGCUAAGUGUUAGAGGGUUUCCGCCCUUUAGUGCUGCAGCAAACGCAUUAAGCACUCCGCCUGGGGAGUACGGUCGCAAGACUGAAACUCAAAGGAAUUGACGGGGGCCCGCACAAGCGGUGGAGCAUGUGGUUUAAUUCGAAGCAACGCGAAGAACCUUACCAGGUCUUGACAUCCUCUGACAACCCUAGAGAUAGGGCUUCCCCUUCGGGGGCAGAGUGACAGGUGGUGCAUGGUUGUCGUCAGCUCGUGUCGUGAGAUGUUGGGUUAAGUCCCGCAACGAGCGCAACCCUUGAUCUUAGUUGCCAGCAUUCAGUUGGGCACUCUAAGGUGACUGCCGGUGACAAACCGGAGGAAGGUGGGGAUGACGUCAAAUCAUCAUGCCCCUUAUGACCUGGGCUACACACGUGCUACAAUGGGCAGAACAAAGGGCAGCGAAGCCGCGAGGCUAAGCCAAUCCCACAAAUCUGUUCUCAGUUCGGAUCGCAGUCUGCAACUCGACUGCGUGAAGCUGGAAUCG
rnacentral:rRNA from 1 species